rnacentral:lncRNA from 1 species
CACAUGUUAUGCCGCUUCAUUGUUAUGCAAAUGAGCGACUAUAACCGGUUGUUUGUGUACUUUAACACACAUGAUGUAUCAUUGAAAACGUGUAGGCAUUGUAUGGUAUGAAUAUUUCUAUAUGUCUGUAAUUUAAACUAUAAUUGCUUAAUUUAAUACAUUAAUUAAUUGUUACAUGUACUUUGCCAGAGAGAUGUCUCAUUGACAAUCAAUCAUAUGCCAUCCUUUUCUUCUUAUUUAUCUGUAUAUAUUUUUAAUACACACACAUGUAUAUUAUAUGUAUAAUGAUUUGAAUUCAAACAAGUAUCAGAUGUUGUUCAGUUUCAUUUCAUCCUUCUUGGUGUUACAAGCUGUUUUGUCAAUCUUUUUUUACACAUUGGUAUUCCACUUUUUUUUUUUUAUUGCAGAGCAUUAAUAUUGACAGGAAACCCAAACAAUAUAGGAAAAGGUUACAUUUUCACCUAUAUCUGUAUUCAUCAUGUUGCAAAACAAUAUAUAUCCAUGAUUGGUGAAGUUAUUUCACUCAAGUAUGGGUCCUUUAGCUACCCUACACUAUGAUAUUUAUUUAUUCUUUGAUUGAUCCAGUACUUUAUAGUGACUGUCAUGUCCAUAUUCAUAUCAUGUCUGAUUCAUCAGUCAGUGGAAAUACUAGAAACAACAUCCUAGCUGGUUUUUCAAUUUUUCCUACAGACAAUAAAAACACUGCUGUAUUUCUUUGAUAACUUGUACAUGUUGUUGUGAUGUAACAAAUUACUUUUCAUAAACUACAUGUACAAAAUGAAAGAAAGUAAAGGUAAGAUAUUAAAGUUAUACUCAAAUAGUUCUUCAUUUUAGGGGUAAAAGGUGACAGGGCACCCUGCCACUUUUAAG